GAUGAACGCUAGCGGGAGGCCUAACACAUGCAAGCCGAGCGGUAUUGUUUCUUCGGAAAUGAGAGAGCGGCGUACGGGUGCGUAACACGUGUGCAACCUGCCUUUAUCUGGGGGAUAGCCUUUCGAAAGGAAGAUUAAUACUCCAUAAUAUAUUGAACGGCAUCGUUUAAUAUUGAAAGCUCCGGCGGAUAGAGAUGGGCACGCGCAAGAUUAGUUAGUUGGUGAGGUAACGGCUCACCAAGGCGAUGAUCUUUAGGGGGCCUGAGAGGGUGAUCCCCCACACUGGUACUGAGACACGGACCAGACUCCUACGGGAGGCAGCAGUGAGGAAUAUUGGACAAUGGGUGCAAGCCUGAUCCAGCCAUCCCGCGUGAAGGACGACUGCCCUAUGGGUUGUAAACUUCUUUUGUAUAGGGAUAAACCUACCCCCGUGAGGGUAGCUGAAGGUACUAUACGAAUAAGCACCGGCUAACUCCGUGCCAGCAGCCGCCGUAA
rnacentral:rRNA from 1 species